GGGGUCGAAUCAGGCACACACCGACUAGGGGUCAGACGAGUCAUAAUCAAUCAUGCGACUGUAUUGCUUAAGAUGUGCACUCCGACUAGCUUUUUUAGAUCAGAAGUCGGAUCAAAAACAUGCUGACGAGGGGUCGGACAGAAUAGCCUCCGAUCAAGAGUAGAGACAGACAUUUGUCGAUCAGGGGUCGGACAGACAUUUAUCGAUAAUUACAAUAAUUAGACCGCUUGAGAGGCGACAGAUAUUUGCUGACUAGGAGUCGGGCAAACCACAACAAUUAGGCCGCUUGAGAGGCGCUGAUAUAA
rnacentral:lncRNA from 1 species